UACGAGAGGUCCAAACGUUAUUCGGAAUCACUGGGCUUACAGAGUUCGUAGGCGGUACGGUAAGUGGGGUGUGAAAGCCCUCGGCUCAACCGAGGAACUGCGCUCCAAACUACCGUGCUAGAGGAAGAUAGAGGUGAGCAGAACUGAUGGUGGAGCGGUGAAAUGCGUUGAUAUCAUCAGGAAUACCGGAGGCGAAGGCGGCUCACUGGGUCUUUUCUGACGCUGAGGAACGAAAGCUAGGGGAGCAAACGGG
rnacentral:rRNA from 1 species